CGUAGGGUGCGAGCGUUAAUCGGAAUUACUGGGCGUAAAGUGUGCGCAGGCGGCCGAGCAAGUCGAGUGUGAAAGCCCCGGGCUUAACUUGGGAAUUGCGCUCGAAACUACUUGGCUCGAGUGUGGCAGAGGAAGGUGGAAUUCCACGUGUAGCGGUGAAAUGCGUAGAGAUGUGGAGGAACACCGAUGGCGAAGGCAGCCUUCUGGGCCAACACUGACGCUCAUGCACGAAAGCGUGGGGAGCAAACAGGAUUAGAUACCCUGGUAGUCCACGCCCUAAACGAUGAUGACUAGUUGUUGGAGGAGUUAAAUCCUUUAGUAACGCAGCUAACGCGUGAAGUCAUCCGCCUGGGGAGUACGGUCGCAAGAUUA
rnacentral:rRNA from 1 species